rnacentral:rRNA from 1 species
UACGUAGGGUGCAAGCGUUGUCCGGAAUUAUUGGGCGUAAAGAGCUCGUAGGCGGUCUGUCGCGUCGGUCGUGAAAACUUGGGGCUUAACCCUGAGCUUGCGGUCGAUACGGGCAUGACUGGAGUUCGGCAGGGGAGACUGGAAUUCCUGGUGUAGCGGUGAAAUGCGCAGAUAUCAGGAGGAACACCGGUGGCGAAGGCGGGCUCUGGGCCGAUACUGACGCUGAGGAGCGAAAGCGUGGGGAGCAAACAGG